rnacentral:tRNA from 1 species
GCACCGUUGGUUCAAUGGUAGAAUGCUCGCUUCCCAAGCGAGUGACGCGGGUUCGAUUCCCGCACGGUGCA